AUCCUGAUAAUAACACAGAUGAUGGUCCUGAUUUUGGUUUAAGCAGCACCACUGCGACGUCGACAUCAAAAUCUUCAAAAAAUGUUGAUCCUCAGGAUGCGGCUGUUGAAGCUGCCAUUGCUG
rnacentral:sRNA from 1 species